UACGGAGGGAGCUAGCGUUGUUCGGAAUUACUGGGCGUAAAGCGCGCGUAGGCGGCCUUGCAAGUUAGAGGUGAAAGCCCGGAGCUCAACUCCGGAACUGCCUUUAAAACUGCAUAGCUUGAAUCCGGGAGAGGUGAGUGGAAUUCCGAGUGUAGAGGUGAAAUUCGUAGAUAUUCGGAAGAACACCAGUGGCGAAGGCGGCUCACUGGACCGGUAUUGACGCUGAGGUGCGAAAGCGUGGGGAGCAAACAGG
rnacentral:rRNA from 1 species